rnacentral:rRNA from 1 species
GAUGAACGCUGGCGGCGCGCCUAACACAUGCAAGUCGAACGGCACCCCUCCUCGGAGGGAAGCGAGUGGCGAACGGCUGAGUAACACGUGGAGAACCUGCCCCCUCCCCCGGGAUAGCCGCCCGAAAGGACGGGUAAUACCGGAUACCCCGGGGUGCCGCAUGGCACCCCGGCUAAAGCCCCGACGGGAGGGGAUGGCUCCGCGGCCCAUCAGGUAGACGGCGGGGUGACGGCCCACCGUGCCGACAACGGGACGCCGGGUUGAGAGACCGACCGGCCAGAUUGGGACGGAGACACGGCCCAGACUCCUACGGGAGGCAGCAGUGGGGAAUCUUGCGCAAUGGGGGGAACCCUGACGCAGCGACGCCGCGUGCGGGACGGAGGCCUUCGGGUCGUAAACCGCUUUCAGCAGGGAAGAGUCAAGACUGUACCUGCAGAAGAAGCCCCGGCUAACUACGUG